AAGUCGUAACAAGGUUUCCGUAGGUGAACCUGCGGAAGGAUCAUUAUCGAGUUUUGAAAGGAGUUGUUGCUGGUCCUAACCGGACAUGUGCACGCUCUGCUCAUCCACUCUCAACCCCUGUGCACUUAUUGUAGGUCGGUGAAAGGCUUUGCGCUUCGGUGCUCAGCUGGAAGCCUUCCUAUGUUUUACUACAAACGAUUCAGUUAUAGAAUGUCUUCUGCGUAUAACGCAUUUAAAUACAACUUUCAGCAACGGAUCUCUUGGCUCUC
rnacentral:misc_RNA from 1 species